UACGUAGGUGGCAAGCGUUGUCCGGAUUUACUGGGCGUAAAGAGCGCGCAGGCGGUCGUUCAAGUCGAGUGUGAAAGCCCCCGGCUCAACUGGGGAGGGUCACUCGAUACUGAUCGACUCGAAGGCAGAAGAGGGAAGCGGAAUUCCCGGUGUAGCGGUGAAAUGCGUAGAGAUCGGGAGGAACAUCAGUGGCGAAGGCGGCCUUCUGGACCAGUACUGACGCUGAGGCACGAAAGCGUGGGGAGCAAACAGG
rnacentral:rRNA from 1 species